UCAGGCUGCACUUGUGAGACCCGAACUCACUAAAUGCUCUUGGAGUUCCAGUGAGGUUGUUUUUCUCUUAGAAGACUUAUUUGUUAUGUUGAAUGUCGUGUCUCCAGGAGGAACCCAAAUGUCAGUCUCUGCUUCCUGGUUUGCCCCUGUGCUCCUAUCUCAUGGCUAGAGCUGAAGAAGACGGAGUAAAACUUUGCAUAUGGAAACCAGAGCUUCAGAGAGUUGAAGCAGCGUGCCCCUGAAUGUUGAAGAUAUAUGAACUUGAUGACAGAGUUGUUCAAGGUGAAGGUAACUGACCUCGGUCUCCAGCUGCUUCAGGUGUCAUCUAGAAACAGUAUUGAAGAUGGCAAGACGUAGAGGCACACCUGUGACCCACUCAUACUAAAGUGUACUUAAGACUACAAGAUGAGGAAGUUGUAGAUGCGAAGUCAUGUUUAUCUGAUAUUUGAUUCCACAUUAAAAAUAAAUUCUAGUGUUUCUGGAGACAGUU